rnacentral:rRNA from 1 species
GCGAAGCCUGACGGAGCAACGCCGCGUGAGGGAUGGAGGCCUUUGGGCUGUAAACCUCUUUUCUCAAGGAAGAAGACCUGACGGUACUUGAGGAAUAAGCCACGGCUAAUUCCGUGCCAGCAGCCGCGGUAAUACGGGAGUGGCAAGCGUUAUCCGGAAUUAUUGGGCGUAAAGCGUCCGCAGGCGGCCGUUUAAGUCUGUUGUUAAAUCGUGGAGCUCAACUCCAUCACGGCAAUGGAAACUGUUCGGCUUGAGUAUGGUAGGGGCAGAGGGAAUUUCCGGUGUAGCGGUGAAAUGCGUAGAUAUCGGGAAGAACACCAGUGGCGAAAGCGCUCUGCUGGACCAUUACUGACGCUCAUGGACGAAAGCCAGGGGAGCGAAAGGGAUUAGAUACCCCUGUAGUCCUGGCCGUAAACGAUGAACACUAGAUGUUGGGGGAAUCGACCCCCUCGGUGUCGUAGCUAACGCGUUAAGUGUUCCGCCUGGGGAGUACGCACGCAAGUGUGAAACUCAAAGG